rnacentral:rRNA from 1 species
UACGUAGGGUGCAAGCGUUGUCCGGAAUUAUUGGGCGUAAAGAGCUCGUAGGCGGUUUGUCGCGUCUGCUGUGAAAACGCGAGGCUCAACCUCGCGCCUGCAGUGGGUACGGGCAGACUAGAGUGCGGUAGGGGAGAUUGGAAUUCCUGGUGUAGCGGUGGAAUGCGCAGAUAUCAGGAGGAACACCGGUGGCGAAGGCGGGUCUCUGGGCCGUAACUGACGCUGAGGAGCGAAAGCGUGGGGAGCGAACAGG